UGGUCAGGAGCAGGUGGCUUUGAAGGCCA
rnacentral:piRNA from 1 species